rnacentral:rRNA from 1 species
GCAUGCGGUCAUCGGAUUUAGAAACUGAUGACCAAAGCAGCAAUGCGCUUUGGGAGGGACCUGCGUCCCAUCAGCUAGUUGGUAGGGUAACGGCCUACCAAGGCGACGACGGGUAGGGGACCUGAGAGGGCGACCCCCCACAAUGGAACUGAAAUACGGUCCAUACACCUACGGGUGGCAGCAGUAGGGAAUAUUGCACAAUGGGCGAAAGCCUGAUGCAGCAACGCCGCGUGCACGAUGAAGGUCUUCGGAUCGUAAAGUGCUUUUCUGGGAGAUGAGAAUGGACAGUAUCCCAGGAAUAAGUCUCGGCUAACUACGUGCCAGCAGCCGCGGUAAAACGUAGGAGGCAAGCGUUAUCCGGAUUCACUGGGCGUAAAGCGCAUGCAGGCGGUUCGGUAAGUUGGGCGUGAAAGCUCCUGGCUUAACUAGGAGAGGUCGUUCAAUACUACCGGACUAGAGAACAGUAGA